AGUGGGGAAUCUUGCGCAAUGGGGGAAACCCUGACGCAGCGACGCCGCGUGAGUGAUGAAGGCCUUCGGGUUGUAAAGCUCUGUGGAGAGGGACGAAUAAGUGUGGUCGAAUAGGCCGCAUGAUGACGGUACCUUUUUAGCAAGCACCGGCUAACUCUGUGCCAGCAGCCGCGGUAAGACAGAGGGUGCAAACGUUGUUCGGAAUUACUGGGCGUAAAGCGCGUGUAGGCUGCUUGGAAAGUCGGAUGUGAAAGCCCUGGGCUCAACCUAGGAAGUGCAUUCGAAACUUCCAAGCUCGAGUUUCGGAGAGGAAGGCGGAAUUCUCGGUGUAGAGGUGAAAUUCGUAGAUAUCGAGAGGAACAUCGGUGGCGAAGGCGGCCUUCUGGACGAUGACUGACGCUGAGACGCGAAAGCGUGGGGAGCAAA
rnacentral:rRNA from 1 species